UACAGAGGGGGCAAGCGUUGUUCGGAAUUACUGGGCGUAAAGGGCGCGUAGGCGGCCUUCUAAGUCGAACGUGAAAUCCCCGGGCUCAACCCGGGAACUGCGUCCGAGACUGGAAGGCUUGAAUCCGGGAGAGGGAUGCGGAAUUCCAGGUGUAGCGGUGAAAUGCGUAGAUAUCUGGAGGAACACCGGUGGCGAAGGCGGCAUCCUGGACCGGUAUUGACGCUGAGGCGCGAAAGCCAGGGGAGCAAACGGG
rnacentral:rRNA from 1 species